AUCCAGAUCUGCAACGCCGUGUCCCCACCGGUAGCCGAUCUCUUCCUAAAUUGCGUGUCCCCUAUCAAGUCGUCGUUCUUCUACUCGUUGGAAGACGGAGUUACAAUUUGAAGCCGAUUUUCUUUUCCGGUUGAGUCGCAUUCAGUGUUGCUCUAUUUACAGCAGUUUGAUUCAUUCUUGAUUGUCAUUUUUGCCUUCCCGUGAACCAUUGGGCUCAUAUUUGGGUACAUCUUAAUUCAGUGAGCGAAUCCUUGAUUUUCCAAAAGGUUGAAGUGGAAUUGAUUUUCCACUUCUUGGAUGAUUGAGGAGCUUGGUGGUUCUCUCACUGCUGAUGGGAGUACAAGCACUCAUGUCAUUACAGGAAAUUUGCGGAAAACUCUAAAUUUUUGUAUUGCUCUCUUUUCAGGAGCUUGGAUUUUCUCCUCCAGUUGGUUAAAGGAAACCUAACGGGAAGGCAGAUUUGUUGACGAGUUGCCUUACAUACUAAAUGAUGAUGACUACAUAUCGAAGUAUCGAGCCAGCCUAAAAGCUGCAGUUCUCAGGGCAAAAGCAUGUUCUUGAGCUUUAUUUGAAGGGUAUGAUGUUUGCAUAUCAGCUCACGCUCAACCACCACCUAAAACUCUAUCCCUGAUAGUCAAGUCAACCGGUGGAAAUGUGAUUCAUGAGCUAGAUAAAGUAAACAACGUAUGGAAGACGAUCUUUGUGGCUUGUGAGGAAGACGUGGAGGAAGCCUUGGUGGCCGUACAAAAAGGGAUAUGGACUUUCAACGUUGAAUGGCUAAUGGCAUGUAUAAUGAGACCAGAAGUUGACCUGGAGGCCCCUCAAUUUGCUGAGUCCCUAUGAGAAACAAGGUCACCCUAACUUUCAGUUUUGAACAAGCAGCAGCCAGCCAUUUCGUCCUUGUGUAAAUCCACUCUUUUCUCAACUCACUCUAAUUUGGUACAUAAACAAACUCUGAUCGCUCCAUCUCUAUAUUCAUCAGUACAUAAAAGACGAUAAGUUUAUUCAUGGAGAAAGUUGGAUGUAAGUAUGUUUUAGGAAUGGUCCUUCAUUUAGUAACUUUGGGAAUUGUAAAAAUGAGGUAAUGAAGUUCUAUCAAGUUGAAUGUUCUUGUUUAUGUUGGAUGAGACUGAUUCUUGGAUACCAGAAUUAACUUGAAGUACGUGUUUGAGUU